rnacentral:rRNA from 1 species
UACGUAGGUGGCAAGCGUUGUCCGGAAUUUAUUGGGCGUAAAGCGCGCGCAGGCGGUCCUUUAAGUCUGAUGUGAAAGCCCACGGCUCAACCGUGGAGGGUCAUUGGAAACUGGGGGACUUGAGUGCAGGAGAGAAGAGUGGAAUUCCACGUGUAGCGGUGAAAUGCGUAGAGAUGUGGAGGAACACCAGUGGCGAAGGCGACUCUUUGGCCUGAUAACUG